AUUGCAAGCCUCUGCAGAGGCGCUGGAGCUGGGUCAGUCCGCCGCUCACCCCGCGGCCGCACCUUCCCGCCUUCUCAGUGACAACCACGAACUUGAGUGUGUGGUCCUUGCCCAGGAUCUCCUCGUUGCAUAAAAUGUCCAGCUGGGGGAUAAGGAGGUUUGAUUAGCAGCGGAGAGGUGCUCAACCCACACUGACAUGGCCACCUUGAUGCUGGCCCCAUCACACCCUGUCUACCACACCUGCCGUACUGAGCAACGGGAAGAGGUGGUUUGCAGCCCCAUGAGCAGCCCUGACAGCUCCGGAAUCGGGCACCCUGGUUCCCCAGGUGGCACAGGUGCCUGAGAGGCCCAUAGGGCCGAAGUGUUUCCCUCCCCAUCCCACCCAGGCCCAGUCCACACCAGCCCCCUCCCACGGCUGCAGCCUCCAGGGGCACCCUCUCCCCACAGGCCCUACCUCCGGUCCAGGCUGUCCCUCCCUCUCACCAUAGUGCAAAAAUGCACUAGGCUCCCCAGUCUUUUAAAAAAAUUAGACUUUUUAAAGAACAAUUUAAGGUUUACAGCAAAAUUGAGAGGAAGGUACAGGGAGUUCCCGUCCCCCUUGGAACCCCCCUGCCACCAACACCCUGCAUGGGGGCACAUUAGUCACCACCCAGGAACCUGCACUGACAUCACCUCCACCGAGUCCAGAGCGGAUGUCAGGUCGCCCUGGUGGCACAGCCACAGGUGGACAAACAGCAGCAUCGCCGCCCAGGAGCCCUGUGCCCGCCCACUCCUACUACCCUCCUCAAGCCCCUGCAGCCUCCGGAUGGUUCUGCCUUUUCCAGUGCGCCAUGCUGCAGAGCUGGAGUCGCACGGCCUACAGCCUUUUCAGAGGGGCUUCUCUACUUAGUAACAGGGACUUGAUGUUUCUCCCAUGUGCCUGCUCUUGGCCCGACUGCUCAUUUCUUUUCAGUACUGGAUAAUAGUCCAGUAUGGAUGCACCACGGUUUAUUUUUCCACUUAUCUACUGAAGGGCAUCUUGGUCGCUUCCAGGUUUUGGUAAUUAUGAAGAAAGAUGCUAUCAACAUCCGGGUGCAGGUUUUUGUGUGGGCAGGAGAUUUCCAGUGGGUAAAUGACGAGGUGUGGCUGCUGGGUGGUUUGCCGAGAGUGUGUUUCGUGUUGUCAGCAGCUGCCAAGCUGUUCUCCACAGGGCCUGCGGGUUCCACUUCCCACAGGAAUGAACCUGCGCUCCCGGCGUUUCCCGAAUGUGUUGUCAGUGCUUGGGAUUCUGGCCCUUCUAUGGGGUACGCGUGGUGCCACGCAGUUUUCCUUGCGUUUCCCUGAUCAUGUAGACAGUUCUUCAGAUUCCUCCCUGGGGAAGGCAUGAAUUGAAGCAGCCCCACCUGCCUGAGUGGCUGGGUUGGGGGCUCAGAGGCACGGUUAACGCAGCAGCAGCGCAAACCUCACACUCUUCCCUGGAGGAACCAGCCCUGCGCUGGGAAAUGGCCAACCUCUUCCCCACCCCCUGCAGCCCCACUGUCCGGCAGCUUCCCGCUACACCUCCACAUGAAAAUCCAAGGACUUCCUCGGCCUGCUCUGUCCCCAGCUACCAUCCAUCUUUUCUGUUUCGCUACACAGAAAAGCAAACAAAACGAUAGAAACUUAGCAAAAAGCGUUGCCCCAUUUCCUUCUCUCCCUUCCCCCCGUGUCCUGACUUGGUUUCUCCAUGAUCUCCAGGCAGCCCGUGCUCAGUGAGUCUCCCCAACCCCGGUGUGCUGUCCGUAUCCCCGGCCAACCUGUGGGACACUCAAGGCUGGCAUUGGCCCCCCAUGACCUGACAGCCUCUGCUCUGUGCCACCACAGCAGCUACGCCAGCCUGUCCCGAGACACCACCCCCCACCCCAAACCGAGCAGCCCCAGGCCUGCAGUCAUUCCUGACCCCUUCCUUUUCUCUGCAUCACCACCCAAAUACAUCAGCAACUUAUUGUGGCUUUCUCUGAAUUAGUCUCCUGCGGCUGCCGUGGAAAUUAUCACGAGGUGGUGUCUUCAAACAAUAGAAAUGUACUCAGUUCCAGAGUCCAUAACAGCCACACUCCCUCUGCAGGCUCCAGGGGAGAAGCACAGUCCAUUCCGUGCUGCUGCCACAGAACACCACACACUGGGUGAUUUAUGAAGAACAAAUUGAUUUCGGCACAGUUCUGGGAGCUGGGACAUUCAAGGUCACCACGUUGCCACCUGUGAAGGCCUUCUGCUGCAUCCUCAUGUUGGGGAAGAUCAGAAGUGAGAACACAUGCUGGCCAGUCCUUUCACAGCAGCAUCAAUCCGUGCAUGGGGCAGGGCCCUCGGCCUGAGCGCCUCCCCCAGGCCCUAACUCCCAGCACUGCCCUGCUGGGGAUGGAAUUUCCAACAUGAAUCUGGGGGAUGCUUUCGGACCACAGCCGGGGAGCCUGCCCUGGCUUCCAGCUGCUGGUGGCCCAGGGGCUCCCUGGCUUGCCUCGAGGCUGCCUCCCUCCAGCCUCCAGUCCGUCCUCUGCUCUGUCCUCACCAGGGCCUCCUGUCUCGAGUCUUCCUCCGCCUCACUUGUGUCAUGGGAUUUAGGCUCCACCCAGAUAUUCCAGAAUUAUUUCAUCCCAAAAUCCUUUAUUUAAUUAUAUCUACAAAGAUCCUUUUCCAAACAAGAUCCCAUUUGCAGGCUCUGGGGGUUAGGAUGUGGCUUAUCUUCUGGGGCCACCACUGAGUCCACUGCUGCUACAGACAGCAUCUCAAGUCUGUCCACUUCUCCACCCUGACCGCCCCCACCACAGUCCGCCUCUCCUGCAACUCCUGGCGCUGGCCUCUCCUGCGUCCAUUUCUGCACAGCCUGAGCGAUUUUCAAAAACGACACCAGACCCAUGCUCCUGCCCACAGCCGCCAGCGCCUUCUGUCUCCAUGCAAAGCUGGACCCUGCUGGCGCCUGCAUCCCCAUGGUGUCACUGCCUUGGGGGCUCACAGGGACCCACACUGGCAUGUUCAUGGUGCGCCCGCUGCCAAGGCCGCCUCAUGCCAGCACUCCUUCGUCUCCUUACACACCACAGCCUGGAAGGGUCCUCCCUCUCUGCAUCCGCCCAUGUCUCCCCUUGUGAAAUUAAAGCACAGAAUUUCUCGUUUUGAGGAAAACCUUUAUCCUAUUUUAAAACAGUCUCAUCAUCCCCGCCCUAGUUCUCUCUUCCACUCACAGUAGCAUUCCACGUUCCCUGUCUCUGGGCAUCCUACAACCCUUAGGGCUGUCUCCUAUCCCGCUCCCCGGUGAAGCAGGCAAAACGGAUUUUUUUCUGGUUAAAAUCUCCAAAAUUGUUAAAAACAAAACAAAACUAAGCAAAGAAUCUUGGAGUUACCUUUAGAAAUAAGAGAGGACUUGUUAUGGUUUCUACUUAGGGAUCAACUGUUACCUCGUUAAAGGAUGAAAGGUUGAGUUUUUUGGCGAUGAACUUCUUCAGAUGCAAGACGGUCGCCUGGGCUGAGCAGCGGAUCCACUUCCGCUUCAGCCCGCGCAGUUUGCUGCUGUUACACUCCAGGCAGAUGCUCACCUGCGGGAAAGGACGCUGGUGAGAGCGCAGCAGGAGGGUUCCCCCGGACGGUUCUGGAGGCUUCCUUAGACAUAUUUCACUAAUUCCUCAAUCUAGGACUGCUGACCUUUUUGAGAUCAGACAUCUGCUUUGACUUCAACACUGCAGAAAAAGAAUCUUACAUACCUUAUCUGAAAACCUGUUUAUCGUCUGCUUGCCAUUUUGUGAACUAUAACCUCACCCUGUUAAUUCUGUGUUAUUAACAUAAUAGUUGAGAGUUAAUCCCACAGUUACUUAUCCAUCGCAGGCACUGGGUUCUUGGUCUCCAGCUAAGCCUGUCCGGACAAACAUGGCGCAAAGGGGAGUGGGCGGCCCCGUGUCUGCGAAUGCACUCGGGGAGACAGCAGCGACUGCAGGAAGACAGUAGGGAGAAGCCUUGAGCAGGGCCACAGGCGGAAGGUCACAGCUGCCUUCCAGGUGACCAGCAGUUUGGCCGCAGGAUAAAAAGUGACUGUUAAGGGGACUGUGGAGUCCCAGCAGCCACGGGCUCCCUGCCCGGUGCGAAAAGGAAUCUGCCCAGGACGAGGCUUCACCCAAGGGCCCGGCCGGCUUGGCCCCCAAGAUGUGCCUGACAAGGAAGGGCGACGCUCACGGCAAACGCUUCUACAGGUGGAGCCGCAACAAACGGCACAGUUAGGGCCUAAAAAUGCAGUGGAAGAAUGGACAGGGGGUUAACUGAAACAUGUAUGUCUAAAAUUACAAAAGAUACAAAAGGGAGGACACCAGGGGUACAGACGGGCAAGUAUUGAAGGUAAUCAGAUACAAUUUCUAAAAAUAAAAACACUCACGGAAACUAA
rnacentral:lncRNA from 1 species